rnacentral:rRNA from 1 species
UACGGAGGAUCCAAGCGUUAUCCGGAGUCAUUGGGUUUAAAGGGUCCGUAGGCGGCUUUAUAAGUCAGUGGUGAAAUCCGGCAGCUCAACUGUCGAAUUGCCAUUGAUACUGUAGGGCUUGAAUGUUUGUGAAGUAACUAGAAUAUGUAGUGUAGCGGUGAAAUGCUUAGAUAUUACAUGGAAUACCCAUUGCGAAGGCAGGUUACUAACAAAUGAUUGACGCUGAUGGACGAAAGCGUGGGGAGCGAACAGG